UCUCUCACAGCUGCCAGUGUCAUUUUUGUGAUUUGCAGCUAGUAAUCCUGGCCCAGUUGCAUAGUCACAAAAGUGAUCAUUGGCCACUGUGCCAGC
rnacentral:pre_miRNA from 1 species